rnacentral:lncRNA from 1 species
CUGCGGCCAUCGCCGCGCGCCGCGCCAAAGAGGGGGACCCGAGCAGCCGCGGCAGUUACUAUGGCAACUGCCAAGCGCCGGGCCUAGCGGUGGACCGCGAAGCCUUGCGAGCGCAGGCAAAGGAAAGGGGGAAAGGGUGCUCGGCUCCGGAGGGUGUUGUCGCUGCGGUAGCCUGUCCUCCGUAGCGGCUCUGAAAGUCGAGGCACGCUCCGCGCCCUUGCAGUUGCAGCAGUGGCUCGACGGACGAAGCCGGGGGAAAGGCGCCCCCAGCAGCUACUUCCCGGUUCGCGGCUAUGCAGCCAACCUACUGAUAAUACCUAAUGCGGCUGCUAAAUUCUCGCCCGUAAUUUUUCCGACAUAAAUCCAGCGUAGAGACUGUCCUUGGGAACUUAUUGCCAAAAAAAAAAAAAGUGCAGAAGCCUUCCUGUGCAGCGACUUCCGUGCAAAGCAGUGGCUUUUUCCAUCAAGCCAUGCACGAACACACAGCGGGUGGAUCCUUUAGCAUCACACAGAUUAGCGAUCAACAACCCAGUGCUAUGCACACUGCAAGUCUUGCUGCUGUUUGUAGGGCUUGCUCCCAAAUAACUGCGUAAAAUUCAAUUUGAUUGAAUUCGGUAGCAACCAGCAGACACAGACAUAAAGCUCCAAUGUCACAGGAACAGAUGCCACAGACCUAGCGGGACUUACUUCAAAGUAAAUAAACGAAGAUUUUAUUCUUUUUAAAAGCAAGCUUCAUGACAGACGGGGGAUUUGUACCUGGGCCUCCUCGUAAUUCACAAUCCAUGCAUUUGGGGGGGGGCAUGAGAAGUAACCAGGGUGUUGUUUAAGUAGAUGUGUUUGGAUCCAUACAGUCACUAAAGAGUUAUUUUAAGCUAAAAUGCAACAAAUGCUGCAGAGUGAGGGGAAACUUGUGGCUCACCACUAUAUUAAACUGUGGCACUCAAGCAACCACAUCCUACACAGGAAUCUGAAUAGCACUGAAUGCUUUCUGUGUGGUAAGCACCAUAUUUUCACAGGUAAAAAAUAGUGCACAAUGACUUGGAAAACCAUGAUAUCCCUGACAGAAAGGCAGUUUGAGGGAUUAUAGGCUGUUGGUGCAUGCAAAGGGGGGUGCACAUUUAUUGCACAAAAACAACAGCAUGCACCUGUAAACGGAACAAAUAUAUUUCUUUUUCUGUGCUUUUGCUGGUAAAAAAAAGGUGUCCCUGAAUCUGGUCAUUUCAUGUGAUGUGAAUGGUCUAUGGUUCAAUCCUAGCAAUGUUCAUUUGCAAGUAAGUCUCAUUAAUUUCAAUAGCACUUCCAAGGAAAGUUAUUGUAUAAGAUGCGUAAGAAGGCCUUUAGGAGUAGAGUACACCUGGAUAUAAGAUACAUGCCCCAUCUCACUUUUUCCUUCUUGACCCUGUCUUGCCCAUCUAUUUCUGAUAUGCAGGGUCUUGUCCACACCUGGCACCAUAUAUACGUGAUAUAGUAGAAUUAGUGGACACACUAGAAAAGCAGACAGCUUGCUCAAAUGCAGUGUAAGCAAUCCAACUGAACACCACAUCAGACAGACAAGUUUACUGCAAUGCAGACAUGGCCUAUUAAAGGAAGCACAACUUAAGUUAUUGUGUUCCACUUCAUUAAGGUCAGUUCCCAAAGUAAGGCACACAGCUCUUGUUCUAGCAACUUACAAAUAAAAUAGCCUCAAUAAAAUGCUGAC